UCAGACAUGGUGUUGUGGGGACACGGCCUCUUCAGAUAUCGGUUCAAUGUUUGUGUUGGGGGCAGUCCAGGGUUCGAUUCCCUGUGUCUGAA